GUACCGAAUUUCGGCUCCGGCUCCUGCUCCGGCCGAAAUCCGGCCAUUUUUACAAAUCCGGCCCAAAUCCGGCUCCGGCAAAAUGUUAGCAAAUCCGGCAUAAUUUUGGCCGGAUUUCUGGAUGUUUAUUACAUCUUUCUUACCCGUGAUAACAUGUAUACAUAAUACUUAAUUUUUGAACUUCAUGUUUGUUUUGGUAUCUGUAUUUACAUUUUUUUACAAUUUAAUUAGCUAAGCCUAAUUUCAAACAAGAACGCAACAAAAAAUUCUGAAGAGAAGACACACGAUAUUCUGCAAUAAUGCAGGUGUAAAGACUAUGAAGUCAAUCCUAAUCAACUCAUUAGAUGAGCGUUUCAAAGGCAUUGAGGAGAAACCUUUUUAGAUU